GACGAACGCUGGCGGCGCGCUUAACACAUGCAAGUCGAACGGAAAGGCCCUGCUUUUGUGGGGUGCUCGAGUGGCGAACGGGUGAGUAACACGUGAGUAACCUGCCCUUGACUUUGGGAUAACUUCAGGAAACUGGGGCUAAUACCGGAUAGGAGCUCCUGCUGCAUGGUGGGGGUUGGAAAGUUUCGGCGGUUGGGGAUGGACUCGCGGCUUAUCAGCUUGAUGGUGGGGUAGUGGCUUACCAAGGCUUUGACGGGUAGCCGGCCUGAGAGGGUGACCGGCCACAUUGGGACUGAGAUACGGCCCAGACUCCUACGGGAGGCAGCAGUGGGGAAUAUUGCACAAUGGGCGGAAGCCUGAUGCAGCAACGCCGCGUGCGGGAUGACGGCCUUCGGGUUGUAAACCGCUUUCGCCUGUGACGAAGCGUGAGUGACGGUAAUGGGUAAAGAAGCACCGGCUAACUACGUG
rnacentral:rRNA from 1 species